CUGUAGCUAAUUAAGCUAACCAGGUCCCUUUCCCCAUGGGGGCCUGACAUGCAAUGGCUGCAGCAGCCCCCUUGGAAGUAUAUGUAACUUAUUGCCCAUAUGGGUAGCCCUAAGGGAUUGCAAUUUUC
rnacentral:snoRNA from 1 species